UGAUAUUAAUUAUGAAGGCAAGAGAUAAUGUAUUUGUAAUUUAUUUAAUUCUGAGAAUUUUUUGUUCUAUUUCCCUCUUUAUCCAUCCACACAUCCAUGAUCCAUCCAAUGAUAAUUUCAUUUGAAAAAAAAAAAUUAAAGAUCUGAAAGACAUCAUGUUGAUUUUUAUUAUUGCAGUAUUGUGGACCCAACUUUUUUCCAUGUCUAUCCACACUCAUCAACUUCAUUCAUCUGAAACUAUAUUUCUUUUCCAAAUCGGAAAAACCUGUUAAACUGUUAAAAAACUUGGAGUUACAUCACAAUCUGAUUUUGGGCAAAACUUUUUUCACUUCAUAAUACUUUUAAGUUAUGAUAUCUAUUGAUUCAAUUUUAUGUUUUCCAAUAAUGGUAAACAUUUAACCAAGUGUGUAUGCAUAGACAGUGAUGUGAACUAUCAAGAACUCGGGAAGGCUGGGAUAAAAAACAUUUUACUAUUUUAGAUCAAUUUUGUGUCAUGGUUUGGUUAACUGAAUGAAAAACUAUAUUAAUAACAGCUACGAUUUCAUCAACCAUUGAAAAAUUUAAACACAUGGAGAAAACAAAAGUAGUCAUUUCUGUUAAACAAAAGAUGCCUCUCCUACUUGUCAAAAGAUACCUCUCAUACUGUAGCGUAGUACAAGUCAUGUAGAGUAUGAAACACCUUAUCAUCAUCUACGUAGACUAAAGGUGAUCUGAGCACUAAAGGUUUUCCUACAAUUUCUUUUUGUUUUCUUACUAAAAACAUAUUAGAAUCUAGAUCAUGUGAUUAAUUUACUUUUAUUAUUUCCAAUUCAAGAAGCAAAGAAUAAUAACAAUAAUAGUAGUAACAAAUAGUUAUAUACUUAUUUUUAUUUCAAAACGAAAAAGUGAAGAAGAAAUUCAAAAUUCAAACCUCCCGGUUCCGUUUCCAUUCACUUCUGUUAGAAUAUCGACGCCGGUGAUUGCGCGCCGACGGGGAGCUAAUUGAGCACAGAUUCUGCCGGAAUUGGCAGGCGCAGGGGAAGAGGAGAAAGAGGGAAGAACUUAGGCUAACUAACGCAAGAUAGCCGUUAGUUUGAAUGUAAUUAUGAAAAGAUUAUUUCAUUAAUUUUCAAUGAAUGAUUACAAGACUAAUCUGUUUUAUUUAUACUAAAUUACAACAGAUUAAUUAACUCUAUUUUACUAACGGACCGAAUGUAACACAGACUAAGCCCAAUUGAAUACAUUCGUUUAUUAUUAGCCCAAUUGCAAUUAUUGAAACUUUUGCAGAGAUGACCCUUGACUUCAUUGAAUCCUUUCUUUGAGUCUUGGUCAUUUUAUCUGCACAGUAAAACUUAAUAAACAAUUAGCAAAUAGUUUUAUAAGUAUGGA
rnacentral:lncRNA from 1 species